GCGACGCCAAAACUCCUUCCUUCAUCCACCCCACCGGCGACCAGCCAGGAAAUGUCGGAAAUGAGCUCCCUGCCGGUCACCGACGACCUCUUGGCGGAGAUCUUCCUCCUGCUGCCCACCCCGGCCGACCUCGUCUGCGCCUCCGCGGCCUGCGUCGCCUUCCGCCGGCUCGUCACGGACCGCGCAUUCCUCCGGCGCUUCCGCUCCCUCCACGCCCGGCCCUUCCUCGGCUUCCUCAACCACAACGGCUUCCACCCCGCCCGCCCGCCCCACGCCUCCGCGCCCGCUGCCCGCGCAGUUUCCCUCGCCGCGGAUUUCUCCUACUCCUUCCUCCCUUCCCACGGCAGCUGGAUCGUCCGGGACGUCCGCGACGGCCGCGUCCUCCUCGACCGCACCCCCGAGGACGACGUUGGGGAGGAAUCCCCUGUCUUCACAGAGCUCGCGGUGUGCGACCCUCUCCACCGGCGGUGCCUCCAGCUCCCCCCAACCCCUGACGACCUGACCGCUUCGGUGGAGCACCCGCUCCGCGUGGAGUUGGAGCGCUGGUGCGAGCCCUUCCUAGCUCCCUCCGGCGAGGAGGCGGAAGAAACGUCAUUCAGAGUGAUUUGGAUGGCGCAGUGCAAAACGAAGCUGGUCGCCUUCGUCUUCUCUUCAAGCACCGGAGAAUGA
rnacentral:rRNA from 1 species